rnacentral:rRNA from 2 species
CCUGGCGGGCCGUAGCGCGGUGGUCCCACCUGACCCCAUGCCGAACUCAGAAGUGAAACGCCGUAGCGCCGAUGGUAGUGUGGGGUCUCCCCAUGCGAGAGUAGGGAACUGCCAGGC